GGGCAAGAGGUUCGACCCGAGCGAAGCGAGAAAACGUUGCGUCAGCAACGGCCCGCAGGGCGAGCCACGCAGUGGCGAGUCAUCCUCUAUCACCGACCA
rnacentral:sRNA from 1 species